ACGGAGGAUCCGAGCGUUAUCCGGAUUUAUUGGGUUUAAAGGGUGCGUAGGUGGUUUAUUAAGUCAGCGGUGAAAGUUUGUGGCUCAACCAUAAAAUUGCCGUUGAAACUGGUUAACUUGAGUAUAUUUGAGGUAGGCGGAAUGCGUGGUGUAGCGGUGAAAUGCAUAGAUAUCACGCAGAACUCCAAUUGCGAAGGCAGCUUACUAAACUAUAACUGACACUGAAGCACGAAAGCGUGGGGAUCAAACAG
rnacentral:rRNA from 1 species